UUAAAGUAGAACCAAUUGAUAAAAAUUCAGCAGUGAUUGUUAUAUACAUAGAUAUAAUUUAACAGUAUACUAUGGAGACUAUAUCAAACCACAACCUAUAUAGAACAAAAUUAUGAGCAGUCAUCAAAAUCAUUUAUUAUUACUGUUCUUAUUCCUGCGGUAAGUCACAUUGAAACACCAGCUGGAAUAAAACUGAUACCUAUAAAAGAUGGCAAACCAUUGGUUAAAUUCACUUCAGAAAUGAAUUCUUCUCAACGACAAGCAGUAAUUAUGGCUAAGAUGAACGAUUUGCGGAAUAAAUAUUAUGCAAUUCAAAUAUGGAAAAAAAAAAUUAUGAAGCAAAAAAAGAAAAUGUCGAAUACUGCUACUAAAAAUAAAACUGUAGUGAUUACAAUUUUUGAGAAGAAAAAUUGAGUCUAAAAAAAUCCUAUUUACAGUAAAUGAAUAUUUUUUAGAUGUUUUUAUAAAGUUUUUAUUACAGUUUCAGGACAUCUUUUAAAUGUUUUAAAAAUAUUUUUGAUUUUAAGAAGAAUGCAUUUAUAUAACAACUAUUAAUAACUUGGCAUAUAUGUAUACUUUCUAUACAGCA